rnacentral:misc_RNA from 1 species
ACUCGGAAGCCCUUUGUUUAUUAUCCAAAAGAAUAGAGGCACCAACAUCGUAGUACCAUAAGUUGAUCAAUAAUGUACUUUUUUAUCUUUAUCCAGAAAAACCUAAUGAAGCACUAACAUGUACAAAUGAUAUUUGUUAUCUAUGAUGGUCAAGCAAAUGUGAAAUGCUAGAUACCGUAUGGCGCCCAUCACCAAUAGUCUAGGCAUGAACAUGAACCAUCCUUGAAGUGGUGGAAACGAAGCUUAUCCCUGACAAUAAUUUCUCUAUUAGCAACAACUGAAAUGUACUUGAUUGCCCAAUGACAGUCCUCACACAUUCGAAGGUUCUUUAUGAUCCUGAUAGGAGCUUCAUGGCUCAUUUUCAAUAGCCCAAAUGCUAUUGCAAGCUUUUCACUGUGGUACCUAAGUGCAAAUUCUCUUUCCUCCUCUUCCAAUUCAUGCAACACUGACUCAGGUACUGCUGCAUAACCUGCUUCUCUACACCGUGACAUCAGUUCAUCUAAAUAUCGAUAAAUUUCAUUUGUCUCAGGGUGAGACUUGUCACCCAUGCUAAACAAAUAAGUCUUAUGAUCAACUUCUAUCGUGCUAUAGCCAACUUGCUUCUUUAAACAUUUUUGGAUCAUAACGUUUCUAACCAUUUCUACUCGAUCCAUUCGACCUGCCAAAGCAUAUAUGUUAGAUAGCAUCACAUAGUGACCUGGAUUUUCUGGUUCAACAUUUAAUAGCUGCUCAGCAACUUGCACGCCAAGGUCUAGAUUCUUAUGCAUCUUGCAAGCCCCAAGCAUGGCCGUCCAGAUAGCUGCUGCUGGCUCUUUAGGAACUUCUUCAAUGAUAAAGCUAUAUGCUUCAUCAAGGAGUCCAGCACGCCCAAGCAUAUCUACCAAGCAGACGUGAUGCUCCACGCCAGGGGUCAAAUGAUACUCUUCUCGCAUGCUUGCAAACGCCUUGCGACCUUCUUUCACUAGCCCUGCAUGAGCACAUGCAGACAAAACAGCAACAAAUGUAAUGCUAUUGGGACAUGGACCUCUCCUUCUCAUUUCAUCAAACAAUUCAACAGCUUGGUGAGCAUAACCAUUCAUCCCAUAUCCAGAAAUCAUUGCUGUCCAAGCAACAACAUUUCUUUCAUUCAUCGAAUCAAAAACUUCCCUUGCUGUCCCUACAUCACCACACCUCGUAUACAUGUUAAUCAAAGAAGUACCAAGCACAACAUUCAAAUUCACACCAUGCGCAGUGAUGUAUUCAUGCACCCAACGUCCCAUACCAAGUGCCCCCAACUGAGCACAAGCUGAUAAUACACUCACAAAAGUGGUUGAAUCCGGCUCAACGCCAGCUUCCCUCAUUUUCUUAAACAACACAAUGGCAUUCUUCCCACACCCAUUUUGCUCAUAUCCUGAAAUCAUUGAAUUCCACGCCACAAUACUCCUGUCCGGCAUUUUAUCAAACGCCUUCCUCGCAUUACCCAAGUCACCAGACUUCCCAUAAAAAGCCACCAAAGCAGCCUGUACAUGAACAUCCAAGCCAAACCCAUUAACCAAGACGUGCCCAUGGAUGAUUUUACCAAGUUUCAGAAACGACAAGUCAGCACAGGAUUUUAUUACAGACGUGAAUGUAUAAUUAGAUGGUGAGAUAUUACAAAGGAGCAUACAACUGUAGAAGUAAAGGGAAUAAAUGGAGAAGUGAAAUUUGGAUGCCGAUUUGAUUAGGGAACUGAAUAGGAAUGAAUCAGGUUUUGUAACAGAUAGAAAGAUUUGAUGCGUGUAGCUAACGGAGCCAGCCGCGCAAGCCAGAUUGAGAAGCUUUGUAAGAAGGGAUCGGCUGUGACCAGAGCCGGAUACGAUUAUGUGAGCGUGGACUUGCUGUAGAGGUUUGAGAUGAGGACCCGCUUGGAGAAGGAAGUGGUGGGCUGGGGAAUGCGGAGUGGAUGGAAUUAUUUUGUUUCCAUGAAAAUUUGCCAUGAAAACGAGAUAAAGAAAGGGAAAGCUUGCGCAGCGAAGGUGCUGUUGAA